rnacentral:rRNA from 1 species
CCUACGGGAGGCAGCAGUGAGGAAUAUUGGUCAAUGGCCGUAAGGCUGAACCAGCCAAGUAGCGUGAGGGAAGACUGCCCUAUGGGUUGUAAACCUCUUUUAUGCGGGGAUAAAGGUGUCCACGUGUGGUUCAUUGAGAGUACCCGAAGAAAAAGCAUCGGCUAACUCCGUGCCAGCAGCCGCGGUAAUACGGAGGAUGCGAGCGUUAUCCGGAUUUAUUGGGUUUAAAGGGUGCGCAGGCGGAGGUGCAAGUCAGCGGUCAAAUUGCGGGGCUCAACCCCGUACUGCCGUUGAAACUGCAUCCCUUGAGUGCGCGAGAAGUAUGCGGAAUGCGUGGUGUAGCGGUGAAAUGCAUAGAUAUCACGCAGAACUCCGAUUGCGAAGGCAGCAUACCGGCGCGCAACUGACGCUCAUGCACGAAAGCGUGGGUAUCGAACAGGAUUAGAUACCCGUGUAGUC